UAAAAAACAGUUUUCCCUAUCUAUUUUGCGUGACGGGGUGGUAGGUUUGAGCUUGACGGGCCCUGCCUAACAUGAAAAAGCAACAAAUAAACAAUGUAAAUUUUUUUUACAUUGCCUGCUUUUGUUCUUGGUGGCUAUAAGGCUCAAAUGAUGUCACUUAGGCUUUGUGAUGUCAUUUAAAGGACCAGAGUAUUAUUUAUAGAUAAAACAAGUUAGUGUGACGGGGUGGUAAGUCAAACUGAGGGACACGCACAAAUCAUAAAAUAUUUACAAAAAAAUAAGGUUUAUUGUGAAUAAAUAUAUCUUGUGUAAACAGGGACACACAUAUAAUCCUGAAAAUAGUAUAUGUUUGAAAAAAAUAUAUAACUUAUUUGGUGAUACUUUAGAUGCAAGUGUCAUGUUGGUUAACACGGACAUGUGAAAUUGGCUAUAUAAUAAUGAAAAGUUAUUAAAAAAUAGUAUGCUAAUCUUCAAAAAAAGCAUUUUAUCAUAUAUCAUGUUAAAAAGAACACUUGAAUUAAUAACUUUAAGCUUUGGAAACAAAUUUUCGGACAUUUUUUGUGCCUUAUGCAUCUGAUCAAAUGUCGCGGACCCAAAUGGCACCCGUUUCGUAAAAUGACUCAGAACACAACAGCUCAGACUUCCUCUUUUAAAUGAGGAGUCAACAAUACAAUUCAUGAUCAACAUUUUCCCUUAUUUAAGAACAUAUGGCUACAUCAGAUGAAGUUACAAAGGGCUUGAACCAACUGGGCUUCCGAACAUCACGUUUGGGGCGAGUGUGUGUGUGUGUGUGUGUUGUUAGCAGUGUUCUCAGCCAUAAUUUUAUGUCUUAUAAAGUCAGCUUUCAAAGAUAACUAUUGUUCGCUAUUAAUAAUCUGACUCUGGUGGCCAACAUAAUGUUAAAAUGACCGAAUACCACCAGAAACGGCUGUUCAGUCUCACCUGUGAAAGGUAAUUUCACAAGAUCACGUUUGGAUUGUACGAAGAUUUGUUAAACCUCAAAAGUUGCCUGGACCAAUAUGAUGGCGAUGUUGAUGUGUCCACUGAGGUGUCCAUGCAUUUGCCUGUGUUUGCUGAGUUUGGAAAAAUAGCACAAUAAACAAAAGAAGAACAGCCCACCAGUGCUGAUUUGAAUCACUGUUCUGUUGUUUUCAAUGAACCCAGGCUUUCACUGAGGGCAUCACCAACCAGCUGAUGGGCUGCUAUGUGGGCUCUCUGACAGAAGGUCCUGUUUUACUUGUGAGGGUUUAUGGGCAGAUGACUGAGCUGUUUUUGGACCGAGAUAAAGAAAUGGAGAUGUUCCAGGUGCUGCACAAACACGGCUGUGGUCCAGAGCUCUACUGCAGCUUCACCAACGGCAUCUGCUAUGAGUUUGUCCGAGGAGUCGUGCUGGACGACACGCUGCUGAGACAGCCGUCUGUUUACAGAUUGAUUGCAACAGAAAUGGCAAAAAUCCAUUCCAUAAAGUCAGGAGAAGUUGGAGACAGUUCACCCGUGACACCAGUUUUGUGGUCUAGAUUGUCCCAGUUCCUGAACCUGGUCCAGAGAUCCGAUGCUGCUAAACAGCAAAGGUCCCAUGAGGAGGAACCUAGCCUAAAGAUCAUCAUCAAAGAGAUGGAGGAACUGAAGACUCAUCUUACCCACAUCAACUCCCCAGUAGUACUGUGUCAUAACGACCUCCUGACUAAAAAUGUCAUCUAUAACCAAGAAGAAGGCACAGUAAAAUUCAUUGACUAUGAAUAUGCUGAUUUUAAUUACCAAGCUUAUGAUAUUGGAAACCACUUUAAUGAAUUUGCAGGCGUCAGUGACGUGGACUCCAGCCUGUACCCUAGUCGAGAGCUUCAGUUUGAUUGGCUCACAGCGUAUCUGGAGAGUUUCAAGAGCUGCAGUGGUGUGGAUUCAGCUGUGACCAGGAAAGAGCUCCUGGAGCUUUAUGUGCAAGUCUGCAAGUUCUCCUUGGCGGCUCAUCUGUUCUGGUGUCUGUGGGCUCUGCUGCAGGCAAAACACUCCACUAUCGACUUCGACUUCAAGAGGUAUUCCAGGGCUCGAUUCAACUACUACUUUGAGAAAAAGCAGGAGUUCAUUGGAUUGAGACUCCCAUAAUUCCUCCUCCAGUCUAGCGCUGGUCUCUCAGAUUCACAGGACUGCGAGUUAACAAAGACAUUUGUUUGUCCUGUCACAGCCCUCUGGAGCUCAAACUGACUGAGGAGCUGAUAAUGAUCAACGCUACAGACUGAGAAGUGAUCAAAUCUGACCAAAAACAGCCCAAAGCUGUUCCUGGAGCUCUGUCCCAACACUGCCGCUCUCAAUCUCUUCUGUCUGACACACUCAUCUCAGCUCUGGAGUCUCUCCUCAUGAGCGGAUGAUCUGGAUCAGAGAGAGGUGUGAAAGAUGAACACAAACACACAGCAGGUGUCAGCAAACAUGGUUUCAGCCUUCUCAUACUCUUGGAAGAAAAGGAGGGAGCUCGGGAUGAACUGAUCUUCCAAAGCACCUGCUCACAUGCACCUGAGACGCCUACCAGAUCCCCACGUCACAUGAUGAGACAACGAGUACUUGAGCAAGAGAGGGACAUUCGUCUGAGAGGAAAUCAAGGCUCUCGGUCCUCAGAAGCUGUGGAUGUCCUGCAGGCUGUCAAUGCUCCAGGACUUCACCCAUGCCUUGUCCGGAGAGCAACAUGUCUGCAUCUCCUACCUCAAGCAGUUCUCCAUCUCUUCAACACAUCCAUUCUGGCUGAGGAAGAGAACGAUCCUGAGCUGACAGAAACAUUCAAGCCAACCUGAGUGAUCAAUAUUCAGAUCCGUCACAGAUAUUGUGUCUUUUCUUGAUCCCCGAUUCACGGAGAAGGAGAAGGUGGAGCAGGUUAUAUCCAGAGCAGUGGAGGAAAUCAACAGGAAGACACUCUCUCAGGGCCUGUUCCUCCUCCUGAGGAGAAGAGAAAAGACGAGUGUGUCCGUCUUCUUCAAGAGCAGAGCAGAGCAUCAUGGGCCGCAGCAGAGACUCUCAGAGGAGGAAAGCUGUGGGAUCAAACUCAACUCUAGAGCUGCUCCAUACUGGAAAAAACUGACAAUGUGAUAUUUUGUUUUUCUGCAGUAUAUAUUGUGAUAUGAAAUAAAUUCACCAGAUUACUUCAGUAGCUUUAUUUGUAAAGAAUUAACUCUAGAAUGAUUGGAGUGAAAUAAACAGUGCUUUAUAUUAUUCAGUAGAGAAAAUGAAUCAAAUGUGAAAUGACACUGCAUAGUCUUCACUGUAUAAACUGAAUAUAAUUAAUGUGUUAAAGCUGCAAAA